AUUGAACGCUGGCGGAAUGCUUUACACAUGCAAGUCGGACGGUAGCACAGAGAGCUUGCUCUCGGGUGACGAGUGGCGGACGGGUGAGUAAUGUCUGGGGAUCUGCCCGAUAGAGGGGGAUAACCACUGGAAACGGUGGCUAAUACCGCAUAACGUCGCAAGACCAAAGAGGGGGACCUUCGGGCCUCUCACUAUCGGAUGAACCCAGAUGGGAUUAGCUAGUAGGCGGGGUAAUGGCCCACCUAGGCGACGAUCCCUAGCUGGUCUGAGAGGAUGACCAGUCACACUGGAACUGAGACACGGUCCAGACUCCUACGGGAGGCAGCAGUGGGGAAUAUUGCACAAUGGGCGCAAGCCUGAUGCAGCCAUGCCGCGUGUAUGAAGAAGGCCUUCGGGUUGUAAAGUACUUUCAGCGGGGAGGAAGGCGGUGCGGUUAAUAACCGCGCCGAUUGACGUUACCCGCAGAAGAAGCACCGGCUAACUCCGUGCCAGCAGCCGCCGUAA
rnacentral:rRNA from 1 species